rnacentral:rRNA from 1 species
UGAAGCAGAGGACAGUGGCGGACGGGUGAGUAACGCGUGAGGAACCUGCCUUUCAGAGGGGGACAACAGUUGGAAACGACUGCUAAUACCGCAUAACAUAUAGAUGUCGCAUGGCAUUUAUAUCAAAGAUUUAUCGCUGAAAGAUGGACCCGCGUCUGAUUAGCUAGUUGGUGAGAUAACAGCCCACCAAGGCGACGAUCAGUAGCCGACCUGAGAGGGUGACCGGCCACAUUGGGACUGAGACACGGCCCAGACUCC